ACCUGAUUGAUCUUGUCAGUCAUAUAUGCUUCUCUUAAAGAUUAAGCCAUGCAAGUGUUAGUAUAGGUGAUUAUACAGCGAGACUGCGGAUAGCUCAUUAAAACAGUUCGAAAAGAAUCGAUGAAAAGGACAACUUGCAAAAGUUGGAAGUGGAUAUUAAAUGUAAUUCAUUUGAUAAUACAUGUGACUUGGAAAUACAAUGUGUCAAAGCAUUGUACGUAUUUAUUAUGAAAAUUAGGGAGUGCCACUGUAAUAGUAAAAUAUUAUGGCCCUAUUGAUUGACAAUGAAAUUUAUAAAUUGACAAAUCUAAAUGUGUUUACUCGAAUAUUUAGAUAAAAUGAACUUCAGACUGAUCCAUCAAAUCAUUCGUGGUAUCUUUGACUACGGAGUUUAUCACGGAUAACGAAAGAUCAGGGUUUGAUUUCGGAGAGAAAGCAUGAGAGUUUGCUUUCACUUCUAAGGAAGGCAGCAGGCCCGGAAAUUAUUCAAUAUCAAUUCGAUGAAAUAGUGACGAGAAUUAUUAGAAUAGGAGAUUUUAUCUGCUAUGUCUGGAAUGAGAACAAUUUAAAACCAUUAACGAGGAACUAUUGGAGGGCAAGUCUGGUGCCAGCAUCCGCGGUAAUUCCAGCUCCAAGAGCGUAUUUGAAAAUUGUUGCUGUUAAAACGCCCGUAGUUGAAUGUAGAUAAGGUUCUUUCACUAUUGAGUGUAAAAAGCUCAGUGGAUUAUGUAAGAAAAUGUCAAAAUUUUAGAUAAAUGACAUUAACGAAAAUAUGAUCUUCUCGGAUCAAAAGAUAGUUUUUGUUUGCAGACAAAAAGUGAGUUAGAAUUGAUUAAUAAGGCGAACCCUUAUUAAGAGAAAUGAAUUAGGCUAGUGUUUGUCCUUAACUGUAAAAGGUUAAGGUUUGUUUAGAUAGGAUUCGCUUUGAAUAAAUUAGAGUGCUCAGAGCAAGCGAUUAUCGCUUGAAUAUAUUAGCAUGGUACGACGAAAUUUGAUAAAUCUGAAUUUUUGGUACAACUACAGUAACGAGCUUAAUUUUGAGAUGGAUAAUAGGAGUGUUAAAGCUUUUAUUAUUCGUGAAGUCUCUUUAUUAAGAAACGAUUGUAGCGAGUGCAGAUUUAUAAUGAUUAAAAGGGGCAAAUGGGGUAAUUCAUAUUGACUGGGUAGAGGUGAAAUUCUAUGAUCCAGUCAAGAUGCACUAAUGCGAAAGCAUUUUACCAAAAUGUUUUCUUUAAUCAAGGACGAAGGUUGUGGGCGCGAAGAUGAUUAGAUACCGUUGUAGUCACAACAGUAAACGAUGUUGAUUUAGGAUUGUGAAAAGUUAAUAUUAUGACUUUUACAGCACUAUGUGAGAAAUCAAAAUAUUUAAACUCAGGGGGAAGUAUGGACGCAAG
rnacentral:rRNA from 1 species